rnacentral:lncRNA from 1 species
UCUUAGGAGGUUACUCUUUCAUGAACUGGUUGUAUAUAGACUACUUUUCAUGGACAUUAAUGCAAAGUGACGUUGACUUUAUUUUUUUGGUCACCUUAUAAAUGUAAACAUGUGAUGUAAGCAAGUAGAAUCAUACAAUGUAGGAAUUACUGUUUUAUAAAUAAUGAAAUUGAAGUUCAGAGAAAUUUAGAGAUUUACUAGAUCCACAUUGAAUAAUGCAUAGAUUUUUAGAAUUUUGUCAAGUUCACAUGUGUGGCAAAUCAAAAAAGCUAUAACAGUAGCAUGCAUUCUUCUUCCCAUGUCUAUUGUUUCUUUUUCUAUUUUUCCCUCCUCUCCUUAUCCAGGGGUUAACUCAAUCUAAUGCAUGGUUAUGUGGUAGGAAAGAACUAUUACAAGUGGAAAGGGUAGUGUUGGAACCAGAGUGUUAAGAUGACCCACAAAAUUGCUACUGUCUGGUGUACGUCUUUAUAUAAUACCCUCCCUUCAAAUGUGGGCCUGAACUAGGCAUAUGAUGGAGCUUUAAGAAAGGGAGAUUUUCCUUGGUGAGCCUGACCUCAUCAGAUGAGUCUUAAAAGGGGCUGCACUCUUCCUGAAGAAUUAGAUUAAGAGUGAGUGGGAAUUUUUGACAAAAGAGAAAAAAUCUCAGUCACUUGCUCUAAAGAUGGAGAGGGUUGCCUGGCAAGGAAUGACACUGGCCUCAGAGCUCUCUGAAGAUCCUACAGCCAAUAGCCAGCAAGGAUUGAGGGAUUAUAGACCUAUAACUGUGAUGAAUUGAAUUCUGCCUCAAAGUCAUAUCUUGGAAGAGGAACUGAGCUCCAGAUGAUGACAUAGCCUGGCCAGCACCUUGAUUUUUAGUCCAUGAGACCUGAACAGUGAAACCAGUGUCUUUGUGCUUGGAUUAGUGACCUAUAGAAACAUGAGCUAAAUUAUUCUUUUAAGCAGCUAAGUUUGUGGUCAUUUGUGAUGCAGCAGUAGAAGAUUUUAAAUGCAGAGAAAUUUAAAGAUUGGCUUUGCCAUUGGUGUGCUACUUGAUUUACCUUCUGUGUGCAGCUUCUGAAAAAAAUGAUUAAGUUGGACCAGAUCAACUAGUAUUCCAGAUAGGAAUACAGAUUUUUAAAUCAUAGGUUUAGUAACAACAUGCUGUUAAACCUUUAUCAAGCCAUGCUAUUGACACCAAGUCGAUAGACUCAUCAUAAACACUGAAUAAUUUGAACUUAAUUGAUAAAAUAUUUUUAUAAACUUCAUUUUAAAUUCAUGCUAUUUUUCUUAUGUCAGUUUACCAUCUGCCCCUGUGACAGGGAUGAAAGUGAGUGAUAAAAGAUGAGAAAUGCAAACUGAAUUUGCGUAUCUGGGGAUGUGUGUGUAAAUGUGUGCACACGUGUGCGUGUAUGACUGUAUGUGAGAGAGAGAGAGAAAGAGUGUGAGUUGGUUGAAACUCAAGAGAUUCAGAUGUUUCUGGGUAUUUUUGAUGACAUGACAUUGGAAAUAACUGUCUGACUCAAUGGACUACAUAUGACCUGCUAGAGAGAAAGGCCAAAGUUCAGCUUAAGGAAUCGGUUUCAAGAAAAAUUUGUGAAAUAUGUGCAUAAGCUGGGCUGCAUGGAUCUUUAGGAGUCAUCGUGAACAGGAAUGGAGAAUUGUAAUGUUUUCUCCUCUUCCUGGUGAAGCACAGCAUCCCUGUGUGUGAAGGCCAUAGGUCCUCAUGGAUGUAUCAGAGGAACAUGGACAAAGCAGUGCAGGAGAAGACUGAAACCAUUCAUGAGAGGGGGAACACAGUGGGGGCUAACAGAUUAUUUGGAUGUGGGUUAGGGAGUAGAGAUAAUAAACUUGGGACAUGUUGAUCUUGCAGUUCCUGGGAUAUAGAAGUAGAGGUAUUAAAAUAGGAUUGGGAACUUAGAAUGAGGCUUGUGUUGAAGAUGUGGCUUUUGACACUCGGCAUAUUGGUGCCAGUUGAAUUCAUGGAUGUGGAUGAAAUCAUCUUGAGGGAGUAUAUGGGAUAAUAAGAAAAAGCUCUAGAGAUAGACAGGCAAUAGCAGAAAAUACUUAUAAGUUGUCAGAAUUUGGAAGAGUACUGGGACAAAGUGGUAUCCUGGCAGCUAAGGGAGAAAGAGGUUUUAUGUCUUUAUAAAAUUUCUCCCAUGCUUUAUAAUACCUGUUGCAUAGCCUUUGGGGGAGUUAAUGAUCCAGGCAUUAAAAUAAAAUUCUUCUCAGAAAUCAGCCACAGUCAAUCUAAUCCUCAUUUCUUCACUAACAAUAUUACUUUCCUUUUAACAAUCCAGAAAGAAGUUACCAAACAUUUCCUCUUUUGUAAUUAAACAAUCAUUACUUGCUAAUUUAAGAAGGAACUUUAAUUUUUAAUUUACUCUUAUGUUAAAGAUAGUUUAUACAAUGACUUUGAGCCAAAAUAACAGUGAAUAUUUCUUUGUCAAUUAAUGAAAAUGGAACAUCGAAUGAAAGCAUCUCAUUAAACCCUGUUCAUAUGUUUGCAGAUUCUGAAAUUGCUAGUGUCAAAUUAAUUGAAGUUUCUUUAAACUGUUGAUUUUAAGGAAAGACCUAAUCAAGUCAGCCAACAAUAAUUCUCUAGGUUGGUAAUUAAUGAAUUUAAUAAUUUAUCUAGUGUUGAAUAAUUCCCUUUAUGGUUGAUGGAUCCAUAAAUAAUUAUCUAGGAUUAGAAGAAUAUGCAGUGUUUUCAUUUAUAUUAAAUAUCUCAGAAAGUUAAUCACCUAAAUCUAGACUAGUACACUGAAGGAAUCUAAAAUUCAUUAAGGCUUUAUUUCUCUUAGAAUUCCACUUUUGAACUUUUUCCUUUUCAGAGGUGCUGGUUUCAUAUUAUUUUUUUCCCUCCAGAGACUUUGAUGCUGUCCUGCAGCUGUUUACUUCUUUAGAGCCUUCAGAAAAACUAUCUAAUCUAAAUAAUAUCCUCCCUAGCCCAUGAGGAUACUUAUGAGGAUAAGAAGUUUUAUAUAUAUAUAAAGAAGUUAUAUAUAUAUAAGAAGUUUUAUAUAUAUAUAAAGCUUUCAUUUUAUUUUUUUUAGGGCCACAUGUGCAGCAUAUGGAAGUUUCCAGGCUAGGGGUCAAAUCGGAGUUACACUGCUGGCCUAUACCACAGCUGCAGCAUUGCAGGAUCCGAGCCACAUCUGUUCGGGCAACACCGGAUCCUUAACCCACUGAGUGGGGCCAGGGGUUGGACCCACAUCCUUAUGGAUACUAGUCCAGUCCUAAAGCUGUUGAACAGCAGUGCGAACUCUCGAGAAGUUAUAUUUUUAUUUUUUCUGCUUUGUAUAUUGUAUAAUGGUAAAACUGCUUGUUAAUUCCUUGGAAAAAAAGAACUGGUGGAAGUUGUCUUACUCCUUUCUUUUGAUGAGUAGGAGAUGUGAUGUGAGCUUGGUUGAGGAAUGCUCCUGGAAAGUCCCUGGCCAAUACACAUAGACUUAUGUGUGGCUUCUAACCUUAGCCAAAGAAGAAUUUGGAAGAGACAUGAGGAGAAUUUUAGAUUGUAUUGAAGAAGAUACUUGGAAAACCUUGAAGAAACCUUAGGAGGCAGAAAAAAUAUAGCUCUCUCAACUCUCACAUCAGUAAGAAGACUGUGGAAAUCUGGGACAAAAAAGUGAUUUUCAAAAGUUACACAUAUUUUGCCCUGAAAAUAUUCAUUAAUUAAAAAAAUCAAUUUCUAUUUCUAAUGCCUUAAAUCUCAUUGAAUUACUCUGCUAACAAAACCUAAAGAUCAUUUGGACACUUUUUCCUAAGAGAUUUAAAACUUGAAAAUUCUUCAUUUUUCUUUUUUGACUUCUCUACAUAGGUCUGUUGAUUUUUUUUCAGAAUAAUAAAGAUUUCAUCAGACACGCUCAAAUAUAUAGAAGUAGGAAAGUCUGAGCUUAGAUAAUUUUUAAUAAAACAACAUCAGCCAAGAUUUGCUUCGCUUUUGAAAUAUACAGUUAAAGUAGCUAAAUUUACACAGUUAAACAUUAGUGAUGUCAUCAAAAAAGGUGGUUUGUGUGGUCUAAAGAGCACAAAUUUUGGUUUAGCGCCCCCUCUGCUAGUUGAGGGCUGUGUUCUGUUUUGGUAAGUCACUCAACUGCUCAGAAAGUGUUUGGUUAAGUACAAAAUAAAAGGAAUGUUACGAGGAUCAAGAGAGAAUAUUUUUGGAAUCGCUUUGUAAACUGUAACAUUUAAGUUCAAAACCAUCCAGUUAAAAUGUUGUCAUUAGCAAUAAUCGUCAGAAAACAAUAGUUUCCUUUCUAGCUCAUGUGAGUGUUCUCGGUGUUUUGGUCUGUACUUACUCUUAAGUAACUUAACAGAUUAAUAAACCUGGAAAUAUAAAAACAAAGUCUCUAUUGGUUAGUGACUAUAAAUUACACACAUAUGUAUAUUCAUCCAUCCAGCCAUAUCUGUGUGUGUGUGUGAUUUAUUAAUUAGGAUAGCUAAGCUGCUGCAACAAAUAGGGCUCAAAAUAGUGGUUAAAGUCUUAAGUGUCUUCAUCUGGCUGGCAGCUCGGCUGCUUAUAGUCAGUUAGGAAUGGAUCUGAAAUGGCCAUUGUAGCUCUGAGAAGGGUUGGGGGUUGUCUUAUCCGGUUGCACUGAUUGCCAGUCAAGAAAGAGCUGAAAUGUGCACACUUUGCAUCUACUCAUAUUCCAUCGGCAAGAGCUUGGACAUGUGGCCACACUAACUGCAAGGGAGCCUGGGGAUGUACAAUGUCAAGUUUGGCAUCUGCAUCCCACCUAGAACUUCAUUACACAGAGGGACAGCUGAGUUUGAUGGACAGCUAGCAUGUUCACCAUGAUGGACACUGCUUCUUCCCUAUUUCUCUUUUAAUGGAAUCCCUAGUACAUCGAAUGAUUUACAUAUUAAGUAAGGUACAAUGGAAAUGGUGCAUUUGUGUCUGCUUCAUAAUAGGUACUCAAGUGAUAGCUGCUAUUUUUAGACAGGUAUUUCAUUUCAUAAUAUUGAACAAGAGUAUAGUCUUGAUACAGUGCUUGGCUCUGAAAAUAUAAUAGUGCAUGUCCAUAUUUACCUAUGACAAAUUCUCUGUAGUCAUUAAAUAUUUAAAAAUAAUGUAGAUAAAAGUAUUCUGGUUGUAUUAGAUGUAAAUAUUGCAUAUAUGAGCUUGCUUAAUGCUAUUUGUCAUGAAAAUAAAUUGAUGAUUGAAGGAUGUGACUUCAAAAGCAAGAGGGAAAUGGCAUUUAUUUUCAAAGGGUUCUAUAUCUAUGGAUUUGUUAGUUAUGAAAAACUUCGAUGUAUGUAUUACUGCAAAUGUUCCCAAAUCAACAAACAUCACCAUCUACUAAUUUUCAUGAAUUUUGAAUUGGAUCAUAAGACAUAACAUCAUAAGACAUAACAUUCCCUAAGCAGUUAAAUUCCAUUAGAGACCAGACUUUGAG